rnacentral:rRNA from 1 species
AUUGAACGCUGGCGGCAGGCCUAACACAUGCAAGUCGAACGGUAGCACAGAGAGCUUGCUCUCGGGUGACGAGUGGCGGACGGGUAAGUAAUGUCUGGGAAACUGCCCGAUGGAGGGGGAUAACUACUGGAAACGGUAGCUAAUACCGCAUAAUGUCGCAAGACCAAAGAGGGGGACCUUCGGGCCUCUUGCCAUCGGAUGUGCCCAGAUGGGAUUAGCUUGUUGGUGAGGUAAUGGCUCACCAAGGCGACGAUCCCUAGCUGGUCUGAGAGGAUGACCAGCCACACUGGAACUGAGACACGGUCCAGACUCCUACGGGAGGCAGCAGUGGGGAAUAUUGCACAAUGGGCGCAAGCCUGAUGCAGCCAUGCCGCGUGUGUGAAGAAGGCCUUCGGGUUGUAAAGCACUUUCAGCGGGGAGGAAGGCAAUGCGGUUAAUAACCGUGUUGAUUGACGUUACCCGCAGAAGAAGCACCGGCUAACUCCGUG